GAGGCACAAGAUCACAAAAUUGAAGUAGAUGAACUGCAUGUAUCACGAACCAGCGGGUCUGGACUACGGAAUGUUCGGACCCUGAAGCCAGGCCCAAUUACUCAGGCGGAUACAUGUCGACGACACUUCUUGCUAGCAGGACGUCUUCAUUGUCGGACCCUCUGUUCCAUUUCUUAUACCACACGUGAGAGGAACGAAUGCCUGCGACAGGUCGGACCUAGAGUCAUUAGUGACUCCAGUCGGACCGUCCCCCACUUCUCCUUUCUUGCUUCUCGGAACGCCGUGAUGUCGUUCGACGGAAUUUACAGCAGGGAACCGCCAACACCAUCGCAAGCAUCUUUGCGUGACCACUAGCAGAAUACAACCAUCUCACUAGCAGCCUGUUCUUCGUCAUCUCGUACAGCUGAUACCUAUUCUUGAAGUGCGCAGCUGCACCGUCGAGAUGUAGAUGAGAUGCGUGAACACAGGUAGGAUUUCUUCCAGGGCCUCAACUAUCCUGUCCAGAGCUAGAAGUGCGUGCGCCGUGUCGUGGGACAUGCCGUCGCUCACCGCGUUGCGGAGCUCGUUGUCAACACAGGUGUUGUUGCCACGCAAGUGAAUAAAGAAAUUUGAUCUGUUUUCUA